rnacentral:rRNA from 1 species
UACAGAGGGCCCAAGCGUUGUUCGGAUUCAUUGGGCGUAAAGGGUGCGCAGGUGGCGCUGUAAGUCGGGUGUGAAAUUUCGGAGCUUAACUCCGAAACUGCAUUCGAUACUGCGGUGCUCGAGGACUGGAGAGGAGACUGGAAUUCAUGGUGUAGCAGUGAAAUGCGUAGAGAUCAUGAGGAAGACCAGUGGCGAAGGCGGGUCUCUGGACAGUUCCUGACACUGAGGCACGAAGGCCAGGGGAGCAAACGGG